GAUGAACGCUGGCGGCGUGCUUAACACAUGCAAGUCGAACGGGAUUUAGUAGACAGAAGUCUCGGCUAAAGAUUACUAAGGAGAGUGGCGAACGGGUGAGUAACGCGUGAGCAUCCUGCGUAUGACAGUGGGAUAGCCUCGGGAAACCGGGAUUAAUACCGUAUAAAAUCGUAGAAACACAUGUUUUAACGGUCAAAGGUUUAUGGGUCAUAGCUGGGCUCGCGUCUGAUUGGCUAGUUGGUGAGAUAACAGCCCACCAAGGCGACGAUCAGUAGCCUGUCUGAGAGGAAGGGCGGACACAUUGAAACUAAGCCACAGUCCAAACUCCUACGGAAGGCAGCAGAGGCUGAUAUAGCACAAUGGGGGAAGCCAAGAUGCAGCGACGCCGCGUGAACGAAGAAGUUAUUCAAAACGUAAAGUUCUGUCCUAUGGGAAGAUAAUGACAGUACCAAAGAAGAAAGCUCCGGCUAAAUACGUG
rnacentral:rRNA from 1 species